UUGGAGCCUGGAAAACAGCUGGUUGGUUUAUUAUCUGUGCCAUAGGCUCCAGAAAUAGUUUAGAGCUGUGGUUCCCAAAGUUGGGCUGUGUAGCAUCAAGUAAGGGUCCUUGGAUGAGCUCAAAAAAUCUAAUUAAAGGUAAUAAGAAUAUUGAUAGCGUAAUAGAUUUCCAUUUCCUAUAAUUAUAACAAUAGCRCAUAAAAUAACCAUAAAAUAAUAAACAUGCUGUAAAAGCUAUUUGGAUUGUCAAUAAGCCCCUGUUCAUUACAGUUAUUGACAAAGUCCUAUUUGGAGUCACAAGCCUCUACCAUGAAUAAUUUGUAGGCCUGAAGGUGAAAAGUUUGGAAACCGCUGCUUUAGAGAAUAUACAGCCAAGUAAAGAUGAACGUUUUCCAACUAAACUCUCAGUUUGCACGUUUUGCAGCUUCUUGAUAAUUUAUGUUCUGUCGUUUCUCUCACAGGAUUCAAAGAAAAAAGAAGAAAAAAAACCUCCCAGCACAUUUAAAAUACAGCUGCAUGCACUACAACCAGUUCAAGAAGCAUCAGCAGAGUAUUUAAAGUCAGCCAGGUCGUUCUAGUCUUUUAGAGAGCAAAGGGCACAUUGUAGCACAAGGUGCAGGCUCUGUUCAACAAGUGCAAAGGCAUAAAGCAAAAAGGCACCGAGUUAGUGCCCUGCCACUGAUUGGCAGGGUGGGGUCACCAGGUGACCCCUGACCUUUUUAACCUUWGGAAUGUUGUCACGCUGGUGCGCGCAUUGUUCCGGCCUCCCCAAGGCCAGCAGAGACGAGUGUCAAAUGAAUGUGGGCGAUGAAUGAUCCUGAGGGUGCCCCCCCCACUCAAAAAAUAAAAAAAUCUCCCCUUUCUUUCCUUAAUCCUUUCUUUUUCUGUUCAUGAUCCCUAAAAUUUCUGCAAACAAAAGGCAUCAACAAGUCUACGAGUGGKCCGCUGUUGAUGGGCUGAAGUGGACCUCUCCGGAUGCAAACAGACUGUCCUCGCCGACCAAAGCCAGCCGAGAGAGAGGAUGUAAAACGAGUCGAUGAAAAGCAGUAAGACUGGAAAUGCUUCUCUGAUCAUCACUCAUCAUACAAACAACUGUUUCUGCUGGCUGACGGCCAAGAUCUGAGCGAUCCAAGGAAGGGAAUGAAGCAGCAUGAGGACUCACCAGCCAGGACUGAACAACCGACCUGCCGGCUACGCUACACUGGUCAAAUACCCGGGAACAACCGCUGGCCUGCUGGGAAACAAAACAACAAGGAGAAGAGGAGGAUGAGCGACAGAAAGAAAGAGAGCGAGAGAGAGAGAGGGCUGCAGCGUCAGAUGGUUAAUGAAGCCAAAAUGUUAAAUAAAGCUGGUAAUGAAAAGGAAAA